rnacentral:rRNA from 1 species
UACGGAGGGAGCUAGCGUUGUUCGGAAUUACUGGGCGUAAAGCGCACGUAGGUGGCUACUCAAGUCGGGGGUGAAAGCCCGGGGCUCAACCCCGGAACUGCCCUCGAAACUAGGUAGCUAGAAUCUUGGAGAGGUCAGUGGAAUUCCGAGUGUAGAGGUGAAAUUCGUAGAUAUUCGGAAGAACACCAGUGGCGAAGGCGACUGACUGGACAAGUAUUGACGCUGAGGUGCGAAAGCGUGGGGAGCAAACAGG